GUUUCAUGCCACCCUCACCCAGGCCAUCUUCUCUUUUCUUCUUGAACUCAGAUGAACGUGGUGGAAAACAUCGCAAGCUGGUGUAGGGCCUGGCCACCCCUGGUCCCCUCCUGAGGGCUUCCUGUCUGGGAGCAUUGCCUUAACCCAGCAGCCAAAUACACGUAGCUGCCCAUGUGAUGGCUUCGAUGACACGCAUGCAGCCUGCACAGCCGGACACACCCACUGACCCCCUUCCUGCCCCUGGAGUACCUGAGGUCGGAACACGCGUCUCCCCAUCUCCAGAGCUCCUGAGGGAUGUCUGCUGAAAAGAGGUUUUGAUGAAGGAGGUCUUAGAAAGACACGCUUUCGGGUCCAGUUAAUAUCAGCAAAUUUAAUGAUUUUCUUGGUAUUUUCUUUUAAAAACUGGUAUUUUAAGAUUUAUCUCUGCCGCUCUCAUUUGUUUAGAAUGAAAUUCAAUUAAGAAGGUAUAUUAUUCAUCUAUAAAACUCACCCUUUUCUAAAAUCAGAUGGGAUUUAAAACAUUUUACCAAAUUUUACCUUUUUUAAUGUUUAUUUUUGAGAGAGAGACAGAGAGAAAGAACGAGGGAGGGGAGGGGCAGAGGGAGAGGGAGAGGAAGAAUCCCACGUGGGCUCCACACUGUCAGCACUGAGCCUGACUCAGGGCUCAAACCCACGAACUAUGGGAUCAUGACCUGAGCCAAAAUCAAGAGUCUGAUGCUUAACUGACCGAGCCACCCAGGUGUCCCACGAAUUUUUACCUCUUAAGCGAUCCAAUAAUGUUUUCCAAACUUAAUUAAUUUUAAAUUGAGAUCACAAAGGAAGACAUACUUACUAUUUUUGUAAUGGAAAAGGACCGAGGCCUGGGAAAUGGGAGCAGCUCCUGUCGGCGGUUGGUGGAUGUUGUUCGGACCUUUCUCGGUUACCAGGUGGUAAGCCAGCCUGUCCUCACCACACGCACCCACCUCUCCUGUCGCUGCACCUCAGCAGAUGCACCCUUUGCUUCUUUCUGAGUGGACACUCAACUGGCCACUGCUGGUGUACACUGAAGUCGGGUAAACUUUCUGUCUUCACGAGGGGCAGGAAUAGAGGCCCGUGCGCUGCUCUGCCAGUUCCAGACCUGCAGUUACGGGGUCAGAGGGCACGUACACCUGAAACUCUGCUAGGUUCUAAGUGUCUUUUGGUAGCAACUCAAAGCGCUUUCAGCGAAAUGCUUGGGAGGAAGCCCAGAAGGCACGUGUGAGAGCCGGCGCGGCCCCCCUCCCUGGGGCGGGGGGACUUGAGCCCAGGAGGCGGCUCUGCCUCCCCGCGGCCCCUCUAGCGCCUGGAUGCACGGGAUCUGUCUCUUCGCUUCCUUGCUGACGGCACUUGGGUUGUUUCUGCUUUUGAUUUUUAUGAACAAAGCUGCUGUGGACACUGUCGUACAAGCCACUCCGCAGGCAUAGGCCUUCUUGGGUGAGUUCCGAAGGUGGACCGGCUGGACCACGUGCCACGAUGAGUUGAACGCAAUAUGAGCGCUGGGCAGCCGAGUCAACACAGUUACAGGAUUUCGCCAGACGGACACAUACUGACAAUCUACCACUGGCACUGAAUCACUCAGAGGCGUUAACUGGAGGCCCCAGCAGCUGGGGAGGUGCUUUCUCCUGAUGGAACUUUGAGUUGAAAAACCCUCUCUUCAGCUGUGCCCUGUCUGUUGUCCAGAAAAUUCAAUGAGCUCUUCACUUCAGGUAAUUUAACUUUGUCCCUUACUCCUCAUGUGCUGCCCUGACUCCUGGGGCGUGGCCCUUCUGGCGUCUCAGCUGCUGCCUGGGUUGCACCAAGUUCCAGCACCUCCCAGUCCUGCAAGGCCUCUGCAGUCUCUGGUCAGCUCUCCCGUCGCACCUACAACCAGAAGAGGCUCCCAGAACAGUGUUAGGUUUUGCUGUAAUAAAACUUCCUCUUGUUUUGUUCA